UGUAGUCUAGUCGGUUAGGAUAUUCGGCUCUCACCCGAAAGACCCGGGUUUGAUUCCCGGCA
rnacentral:tRNA from 1 species